AUUGAACGCUGGCGGCAGGCCUAACACAUGCAAGUCGAGCGGAUGAAGAGAGCUUGCCCCUGGAUUCAGCGGCGGACGGGUGAGUAAUGCCUAGGAAUCUGCCUGGUAGUGGGGGAUAACGUCCGGAAACGGGCGCUAAUACCGCAUACGUCCUGAGGGAGAAAGUGGGGGAUCUUCGGACCUCGCGCUAUCAGAUGAGCCUAGGUCGGAUUAGCUAGUUGGUGGGGUAAAGGCCUACCAAGGCGACGAUCCGUAACUGGUCUGAGAGGAUGAUCAGUCACACUGGAACUGAGACACGGUCCAGACUCCUACGGGAGGCAGCAGUGGGGAAUAUUGGACAAUGGGCGAAAGCCUGAUCCAGCCAUGCCGCGUGUGUGAAGAAGGUCUUCGGAUUGUAAAGCACUUUAAGUUGGGAGGAAGGGCAGUAAGUUAAUACCUUGCUGUUUUGACGUUACCAACAGAAUAAGCACCGGCUAACUUCGUG
rnacentral:rRNA from 1 species